rnacentral:rRNA from 1 species
ACACAUGCAGUCGAGGGGUAACAGAUCUUCGGAUGCUGACGACCGGCGAACGGGUGAGUAACACGUAUGCAACUUACCCAUAACUCGGGAAUAGCCCAAAGAAAUUUGGAUUAAUACCCAAUAAUACAGGCGUACCGCAUGGUAUUCUUCGUUAAAGAAUAAUCGGUUAUGGAUAGGCAUGCGUUCUAUUAGGUAGUUGGUGAGGUAACGGCUCACCAAGCCGACGAUGGAUAGGGGAACUGAGAGGUUGUCCCCCCACACUGGUACUGAGACACGGACCAGACUCCUACGGGAGGCAGCAGUGAGGAAUAUUGGUCAAUGGACGAAAGUCUGAACCAGCCAAAUCGCGUGAAGGAAGAAGGUAUUAUGUAUCGUAAACUUCUUUUGUAAGAGAGUAAAGUGCACUACGUGUAGUGUAUUGCAAGUACCUUACGAAUAAGCAUCGGCUAAUUCCGUGCCAGCAGCCGCGGUAAUACGGAAGAUGCAAGUGUUAUCCGGAUUUAUUGGGUUUAAAGGGUGCGUAGGUGGUCUAAUAAGUCAGUGGUGAAAUCUCUUUGCUUAACAAGGAAAUUGCCAUUGAAACUGUUAGACUUGAGAAUGGACGAGGUAGGCGGAAUUCGUAGUGUAGCGGUGAAAUGCAUAGAUAUUACGAAGAACUCCAAUAGUGUAGACUGCUUACCAGACCAUAUCUGACACUAAGGCACGAAAGUGUGGGUAUCAAACAGGAUUAGAUACCCUGGUAGUCCACACAGUAAACGAUGAAUACUAACUGUUUGCGAUAUACAGCAAGUGGUCGAGCGAAAGCGUUAAGUAUUCCACCUGGGAAGUAUGCCGGCACGGUGAAACUCAAAGGAUGACGGGGCCCGCACAGCGAGACAUGUGGUUAUCGAUAUACGCGAGACUACCGGGCUC